UUCGUGCAUUAUUUAUUUCGCCUCCGCCCGCGGCCCUGCUGCCGGAGCGGGCGCUCCGGGCCGGCGCCUCUCGCCCGCUGCCUCCCGAGGGCCCCGGGCAUCCCGCGCCCCGGUCAGCCGCGCGGCGCCACCGGGAAGGGCGGGGACCCGGCCGGCGCUGCGACCCGCGGCAGGGCUGGAGAAGGGCUCGCGUGGCCGGCUCCCCAAGGAUCCGAGGACACUUUCCCCGCCCUCUGCCUGGGCAGUUCAACCCGGGCCCCGGGCUCGGGGGUGACCGCCUUUCCCGGCCCGCGCGCGGCCAAGCGCAGCCCGGAGCCCCGUGCGAGCGCGCCGCGCCCCGGGUCCCCAGACUAGCUGCCCUGGAGGCCCAAGCGGCGCGCAAACUUUUGCUCCAGCGCCCCGCGCUCUUCCUCUGCGUGUGAAGCCCCCAAGCACCCGCGCAGCCGCCAGGUUGAGCCCACCAGUGGGCGCCUUGGGUCGAGAUGCUCCUCCGGGACCUGGUGCUGCGCCGUGGCUGCUGCUGGCCCUCACUCCUGCUGCACUGUGCGCUGCACCCACUCUGGGGCUUAGUUCAGGUGACACAUGCUGAGCCCCAGAAGUCUUGUUCUAAGGUGACUGACAGCUGCCAACACAUCUGCCAGUGCCGGCCCCCACCCCCUCUGCCCCCUCCGCCUCCACCUCCGCCACCUCCCAGACUCCUCUCCGCCCCAGCUCCCAACUCUACCUCGUGCCCUGCUGAGGACAGCUGGUGGUCGGGGCUGGUGAUCAUCGUCGCUGUGGUGUGUGCCUCCCUGGUGUUUCUGACUGUGCUGGUCAUCAUUUGCUACAAAGCCAUAAAGAGGAACCAGGCCAUUUAAAGGAGUUCUCUGUGGCCUCUGCCCGGCUUAGUGGGACCAGCCCAGAUUGGCCCACAGAUUGGAGGAUCAGGAGUCCUAGAAAUGACUGCUAGCCCUUCCAGAUCCUCAGAAGGUGCAUGCUAAAUAGGAAGCCUGGGCAGACUGGAGCACGGAAACCCCUGAGAAAAGAUGAAAAUGGCACCAGUGUUGCUGAAUAUCCCAUGAGCUCAUCCCAGAGCAGCAAAGGGGUGGAUGUGAACACUGCGGUGGUGUGACUUGCAGGCCCUGGACCCACUGGCUGGAAGGAAACCUUGGUGACACUGGUGGACAUGGGGUGACGGGUGGACAUGAGCUGACCCUGCGCCUGUCCAGGACUUCAUGCUUUAUAGGGCUCGGGCCUCCUGAAAGAGAAAGCAUCCUCUUCCCAGGCUAGCCCUGGUCAAUCCCCGGGGUGCAGCACAGACACUAGGCUUGAGCCAGGCUCCCCUGCAUGUGGCCCCGAGCAGCAGCCCCACCCAAGGCUCUCCAUACCCUCCUUCUUGUCUUGUGUUGGGUGCACUGACCGUCAACCAGUUGCCACUGAAAGCAGCGUACUCCAAUGAAAGUAGAGGGUCUGUCAUCUGUCUGUCUGUCUACCUGGGGUAGAAAGACAUCCCACUUUAGCCAGAAGAAAGGAGACCCAGGGAUUUCUCCCAUUCUGGAAGCUUACUCUCAUGCAGGAAGCCCACCUGCUUCUCUAUGGACAUUCUAACAAAAGCCAUCACAUAGCCAUGAGACAAAUGUCCCCUUCCAAAGGUGCUUCCCACACAUCUGUCCAUAACUGUACCUGCCAUGGUCUUCCAUCUCCAGAGCCUAUGUCACCCUCCUUUGCCUACCCACAGCCUAGCCUGUGGCUCCUGACUGCAUGCCUGUCCCGGGAAGCAGUGAGCCAAGCCUACAUAGUCCCCUGGGAAUGGACUCGGUAUCUCCCAGAAGCCCAGGCUGGGAGUGUCCCAAGAAAAUCAGAGGUUCCCUUUGCCCCUGCUCUGACAGCCCACACCUGGUUCUUCAGGAAGCGUCAGUGUGAGCCAGGCCCUGCCUCACUGGGCAGAGGUCACAACUUGUGCCAAACUCAUCUGGUCACUCUGUGCCAGGCCAGUGCUGGUCUGGUGCUAUGUGCACCCUCCCUCACUUUCCUCCACCAGUCCCCCAAAACCUUAAUUUGGUACUCAGAAAGUUCCUAGGAGAAGGUGGCUUCUGGAAGUGGCUUUCUGCGGGUCAUGGCUCUAAAGGAGCCGGAGUGUGGGAGGAAGGGGGAAUGGGGAAGAACCAUCUAGCCUUGCUAACCCUCUGCCCAUGGGCUUGUUUCCCUGGAGGCCACCCACACAGCAAGGAGCAUCCCUUGACCCCUAUGAUUUUAUAGCCCUUGGCUCUUCGUCCAUCGUUCCUCACCAGCCACAUGUACUUGCUUAGGAAGCCGGCCUACUGGAGGGCCACACCCCCACAAUGCAGAGAUGUAAUGAGUGCAUUGGCCUCUUCCGCAGCCACCAGAGAUCUUCUCAGGCGGGUGGGUGUGCCACAUGAGAUUUUCAAAGCCAGGGAAAAGUGAGGUGCAUGAAAAUCAGUACAUUGUAGACAGAUGCCCUGAAGGUGCCACUAUCCUGCUCCUGAAUGAUAGGUGCAGGCUAAGGGGAGGUCCAGGGCUUGUCUCAUGUAAAUGACAUUUGCUCUCCUUUGCUUGAGGACAUGGUUUGGGGUUGGGUGUGAAUUUCACCUUCACAACUUGGCUCUGGCACGUUGCCAAGAGCAGGUUGCCAAGAGCCUUCUGUGGGGCUGUCCCCAUCUCACACAGGGGGACACCUGGCAGUCCUCUCUGAAUGUGUUUGCAAGUGAUGAAGAAGCCAGAGGAGAUGGAUCAGGGACAGGCAGAUGGGGUGGGAAGCCUGGCAGGCUCCACCCCAGUACCCUGUGUCUCAACUUCACACACACACACACACACACACACACACACACACACACACACACACACACGCCACCGCCACCACCACCAUCACCUUGAUCUAAAUUGAGACUAGGGCCACAGUCUCCUGGUGCCUGUACCUGCAGCAGAGACUGGGCAGAUAGGAAGGUUGGGACCUAGUUGUAAACAAACACACUCCGGAGCCUUAUGGGAGAGCAUAACAUCCCCAACUUCCAACCUGGACUCUCAGGGCCCUGGAGUGAGGAAGGGACACCCAUAGCUUGAGGGGCGCUCUCUGCCAGGGGACACGAAGGGCUGGGCAGAGCCUGAGAUGUCCAUGCACCCACAUCCUGUCCUUGGCUUAAACCUAGGAAGCCCACAGUGUGUGUGCUAUUAGUCAGCAGGGGCCAUUGCUGAGUUUCCACUGUAGUUGGCUGGUAUGCAUGUAAAUUCUCUCUAGUGGGCUUGUAUUAUCCUACGACACACUUGGGGAAAACCAAAGGAAGAGCUUAGGUUUUUAAAGGGUGUGGGUGUCCCAAGGGAACAGCAUCCCCAAGCCUAGGACUGGACAACUAGAGGGCACAUAUCACAUCAUAAUAAAACCACACAAUCAUGUCAACCAAGAGUGUGAACUUAGAUCAUCAUUUCAAGGGGCCCCAUGGCAACUCCACUAUGACCCGUUUGCCAAGCAGCCUGAAUGCAGUCAGGUGAAGGGUCCAUGUCCACGUGUUUCCCCAAGUGUUUUCCACUGUGGUCAAGUCGUGUCAGAACUCAGCAUCAUUUAGGCUCUCCCAGUUACCGGGUGUUUCCACAAGCCUUCUAGAGGACAUUUUGGAUGAAAGAAUAAUAGAUGUACAAAAAUAGGCAUAUUAUAUAUAGUUAUAUAUAUAUUUAAAGAGAUAACUAUCUAUACAAAAAUAUAUAUAUAUAAAUACUGUACUCCAAUCUGUACAAAUAUGACCUAAACAGCCCAGGUAGUGUGAGACCUGCAUUGCAUGAAUGUAAAUAUCUGAACUCUGCCUUCUUAGCAAUGCGUGUGUAUGGGAGGUAAGCGCGCCACUGGCAUUCUGUCUUGGUGGGCAAAUGCACACGUCAAGACUCAGCAGCUCCUUCCUUGCAAAGAAGGAAGCACUGAGAUUUUUUUAUUGUCAAUAAAAAUAUCCUUAUAAA